GGGCCGGUAGUUUAAUUGGGAAAACACCUGCUUGAGAGGCGGGACGUUAUGGGUUCGAUUCCCAUCCGGUCCA
rnacentral:tRNA from 1 species